UACGUAGGGCGCAAGCGUUGUCCGGAAUUAUUGGGCGUAAAGAGCUCGUAGGCGGUUUGUCGCGUCUGCUGUGAAAACUCGAGGCUCAACCUCGGGCUUGCAGUGGGUACGGGCAGACUAGAGUGCGGUAGGGGUGACUGGAAUUCCUGGUGUAGCGGUGGAAUGCGCAGAUAUCAGGAGGAACACCGAUGGCGAAGGCAGGUCUCUGGGCCAUAACUGACGCUGAGGAGCGAAAGCGUGGGGAGCGAACAGG
rnacentral:rRNA from 1 species